UGGGGAAUAUUGCACAAUGGGCGCAAGCCUGAUGCAGCCAUGCCGCGUGUAUGAAGAAGGCCUUCGGGUUGUAAAGUACUUUCAGCGGGGAGGAAGGCGAUAAGGUUAAUAACCUUGUCGAUUGACGUUACCCGCAGAAGAAGCAACGGCUAACUCCGUGCCAGCAGCCGCGGUAAUACGGAGGGUGCAAGCGUUAAUCGGAAUUACUGGGCGUAAAGCGCACGCAGGCGGUCUGUCAAGUCGGAUGUGAAAUCCCCGGGCUCAACCUGGGAACUGCAUUCGAAACUGGCAGGCUAGAGUCUUGUAGAGGGGGGUAGAAUUCCAGGUGUAGCGGUGAAAUGCGUAGAGAUCUGGAGGAAUACCGGUGGCGAAGGCGGCCCCCUGGACAAAGACUGACGCUCAGGUGCGAAAGCGUGGGGAGCAAACA
rnacentral:rRNA from 1 species